CCUACGGGGAGCAGCAGUGGGGAAUAUUGGACAAUGGGCGAAAGCCUGAUCCAGCCAUGCCGCGUGUGUGAAGAAGGCCUUCGGGUUGUAAAGCACUUUCAGUGGGGAAGAAAGCCUUGGGGCUAAUACCCUCGAGGAAGGACAUCACCCACAGAAGAAGCACCGGCUAACUCCGUGCCAGCAGCCGCGGUAAUACGGAGGGUGCGAGCGUUAAUCGGAAUUACUGGGCGUAAAGCGCGCGUAGGCGGUCUGAUAAGCCGGUUGUGAAAGCCCCGGGCUCAACCUGGGAACGGCAUCCGGAACUGUCAGGCUAGAGUGCAGGAGAGGAAGGUAGAAUUCCCGGUGUAGCGGUGAAAUGCGUAGAGAUCGGGAGGAAUACCAGUGGCGAAGGCGGCCUUCUGGACUGACACUGACGCUGAGGUGCGAAAGCGUGGGUAGCAAACAGGAUUAGAUCCCGAGUAGUC
rnacentral:rRNA from 1 species